rnacentral:lncRNA from 1 species
GCAACAACCGAGCAACCUCACUAGAUUUCUGUGUUGGAGUUUAACUAAAAGUUUAAUUUCAUUCUUAAACUCUUCUUUGCCUUGACCUGAAUCUCUGGACAAUCUUUUCACUGCUAUCUCUUGUCCACUAACCAAGCAACCCUGAAAUGUUUACAGAACCAAAUCCACCUUGUCCAAGCUUAUUCUCAUGACCACAAUUUCUUGUAGCUGUC